rnacentral:rRNA from 1 species
GAUGAACGCUAGCUACAGGCUUAACACAUGCAAGUCGAGGGGUAACGAGAGGAAAGCUUGCUUUCCUUGUCGACGACCGGCGCACGGGUGAGUAACGCGUAUCCAACCUGCCCCCAACUAGGGAAUAACCUUGCGAAAGUAAGACUAAUACCCUAUAAUUUCCUCAGAUGUCAUCUUACGAGGAAUAAAGAUUUAUCGGUUUUGUACGGGGCUGCGUCUGAUUAGCUUUGUGGCGGGGUAACGGCCCACCAAGGCAACGAUCAUUAGGGGUUCAGAGAGGAAGGUCCCCCACAUAGGAACUUAGACACGGUCCAAACUCCUACGGGAGGCAGCAGUGAGGAAUUUUGGUCAAUGGGCGGAAGACUGAACCAGCCAAGUAGCGUGCAGGAUGACGGCCCUAUGGGUUGUAAACUGCUUUUAUACAGGAAUAAAGUUAGCCACGUGUGGUUAUUUGUAGGUACUGUAUGAAUAAGGACCGGCUAAUUCCGUGCCAGCCGCCGCCGUAA